rnacentral:rRNA from 1 species
AGGCCUACGGGGGGCAGCAGUGGGGAAUAUUGCACAAUGGGGGAAACCCUGAUGCAGCGACGCCGCGUGAGUGAAGAAGUAAUUCGUUACGUAAAGCUCUAUCAGCAGGGAAGAGAAUGACGGUACCUGAGUAAGAAGCCCCGGCUAACUACGUGCCAGCAGCCGCGGUAAUACGUAGGGGGCAAGCGUUAUCCGGAUUUACUGGGUGUAAAGGGAGCGUAGACGGCGCGGCAAGUCUGAAGUGAAAGGCAGGGGCUUAACCCCUGAACUGUUUUGGAAACUGCCAUGCUAGAGUG